AUACAUGCAAGUCGAGCGAAUGGAUUAAGAGCUUGCUCCUAUGAAGUUAGCGGCGGACGUGUGAGUAACACGUGGGUAACCUGCCCAUAAGACUGGGAUAACUCCGGGAAACCGGGGCUAAUACCGGACAACAUUUUGCACCGCAUGGUUCGAAAUUGAAAGGCGGCUUCGGAUGACACUUAUGGAUGGACGCGCGUCGCAUUAGCUAGUUGGAGAGGAAGCGUCUCACCAAGGCAACGAUGCAUAGGCGACCUGAGAGGGCGAUCGGGCACAGUGGGACUGAGACACGGCCCAGACUCAUACGAGAGGCAGCAGUAGGGAAUCUUCCGCAAUGGACGAAAGUCUGACGGAGCAACGCCGCGUGAGUGAUGAAGGUUUUCGGCUCGUAAAACUCUGUUGUUAGGAAAAAACAAGUGCUACUUGAAUAAGCUGGCACCUUGACGGUACCUAACCAAAAAGCCACGUCUAACUACGUGCCAGCAGCCGCGGAAAUACGUAGGUGGCAAGCGUUAUCCGGAAUUAUUGGGCGUAAAGCGCGCGCAGGUGGUUUCUUAAGUCUGAUGUGAAAGCCCACGGCUCAACCGUGGAGGGUCAUUGCAAACUGGGAGACUUGAGUGCAGAAGAGGAAAGUGGAAUUCCAUGUGUAGCGG
rnacentral:rRNA from 1 species